rnacentral:rRNA from 1 species
AGCGUAUACUAAAGUUGUUGCAGUUAAAAAGCUCGUAGUCGAAUUCGGGUUGUAGUUUGCGAUUUUCUAUUGGUUUUAUACUUCUGGAAGGUGUGCAAACGACACCCAUCAUGUCAUUUUAGAUUUGAUUUUUAUUUUACUAUAGAAAUUAAAUUAUUUAAAAUGCCAUUUUUUACUGUGAACAAAAUAGAGUGUUCAUGGCAGGCCAUUUUGGCUUAUAUACCUCAGCAUGGAAUAAUAGAAUAGGACUUCUGGUUCUAUUUUAUUGGUUUUUAGAGCCGAAGUAAUGAUUAAUAGGGAUAGUUGGGGGCACCCGUACUCCGUUGUCAGAGGUGAAAUUCUUGGAUUUACGGAAGACGAACAACUGCGAAAGCAUCUGCCAAGGAUGUUUUCAUUGAUCAAGAACGAAAGUUAGGGGAUCGAAGACGAUUAGAUACCGUCGUAGUCCUAACCAUAAACUAUGCCAACUGGGGAUUGGUAGAUGUAUCAAAAUACAAACGACUCUAUCAGCACCCUAUGAGAAAUCAAAGUCUCUGGGUUCUGGGGG